CCCCACAGAAAGAAACUGGCUACUGAGCGAAUGAUCUUGCUAUACCAAAGAAGUUGACCUCAUGUCCAUGGAGCAUCCCUUGAGAACACCCACCAGAGCUUCCGAUCAAGCCGUGAUCAUACCUGCUUACACCCUGGGAGCAUCCGCACUUCGAUUCUGCUCACAUUUUCACAGCACAGGAUAGACAUGGCGACGUCCGACGUUCCUGUGGGACCCGAUCACAGGCUACUAUUUCUGCCGGUGCAAGGGCAAAUCAACUAGACAUCAAUGAACCACACAGGACAGGCCACAAACCGGUGGCAUGAGUAGCAUCGAAAGGUAGCUGAGGCUUUCAGAACAGCCAUUGCGCAGACUACCUCCAGUCAGGUAUCUAAUAUAUGUAUAAGCAACUUCGCAGCCAACCAACUAGUUAACUAGGGGGUAGCGAGGAGCCAGAAGCUUGAUUGAAUGAAACG
rnacentral:sRNA from 1 species